rnacentral:rRNA from 1 species
CCUAGUGGCGGACGGGUGAGUAACGCGUGAGUAACCUGCCUUUCAGAGGGGAAUAACGUUCUGAAAAGAACGCUAAUACCGCAUAACGUACAGUUACCGCAUGGUAGCAGUACCAAAGGAGCAAUCCGCUGAAAGAUGGACUCGCGUCCGAUUAGCUAGUUGGUGGGGUAAAGACCUACCAAGGCGACGAUCGGUAGCCGGACUGAGAGGUUGAACGGCCACAUUGGGACUGAGACACGGCCCAG